UCCGUUGUGGUCUAGGGGUUAGGAUUUACGGCUCUCACCCGUAAGGCCUGGGUUCGAUUCCCGGCAACGGAA
rnacentral:tRNA from 1 species